rfam:Stegodyphus mimosarum contig23808, whole genome shotgun sequence.
GCCUUCGUGGUGCAGUGGUCAGCACGCUCGAUAUGUAACCGAGAGCUCCGUGGUUAGAUUCCCGGCAAAGGCG